GAUGAACGCUGGCGGCGUGCUUAACACAUGCAAGUCGAACGAGAAAUGGAGACGGAAACCUUCGGGUGGAAGGCUUCAUUUCGAGUGGCGGACGGGUGAGUAACGCGUGGGUAACCUGCCUCAUACAGGGGGAUAACAGUUGGAAACGACUGUUAAUACCGCAUAAGACCACAGCACCGCAUGGUGCGGGGGUAAAAACUCCGGUGGUAUGAGAUGGACCCGCGUUCGAUUAGCCAGUUGGCGGGGUAACGGCCCACCAAAGCGACGAUCGAUAGCCGAUCUGAGAGGGUGACCGGCCACAUUGGGACUGAGACACGGCCCAAACUCCUACGGGAGGCAGCAGUGGGGAAUAUUGCACAAUGGGGGAAACCCUGAUGCAGCGACGCCGCGUGAGUGAAGAAGUACUUCGGUAUGUAAAGCUCUAUCAGCAGGGAAGAAAAUGACGGUACCGGAGUAAGAAGCCCCGGCUAACUACG
rnacentral:rRNA from 1 species